rnacentral:rRNA from 1 species
CAGUCGCCGCGGGAAUACGAAGGGGGCUAGCGUUGCUCGGAAUGACUGGGCGUAAAGGGCGCGUAGGCGGAUUGUUUAGUUAGGCGUGAGAUUCCCGGGCUUAACCUGGGGACUGCGCUUAAUACAGGCAGUCUAGAGUGAGGAAGAGGGUUGUGGAAUUCCCAGUGUAGAGGUGAAAUUCGUAGGUAUUGGGAAGAACACCGGUGGCGAAGGCGGCAACCUGGUCCUUGACUGACGCUGAGGCGCGAAAGCGUGGGGAGCAAACAGGAUUAGAUACCCCUGUAGUCCCUGUCUCUUAUAC